CGCAAUGGGCGAAAGCCUGACGCAGCGACGCCGCGUGGGGAUGAAGGUUUCGGAUUGUAAACCCCUUUCAUGAGGAAAGAUAAAGUGGGUAACCACUUAGACGGUACCUCAAGAAGAAGCCACGGCUAACUUCGUGCCAGCAGCCGCGGUAAUACGAAGGUGGCAAGCGUUGUUCGGAUUUACUGGGCGUAAAGAGCACGUAGGCGGUUGGGAAAGCCUCUUGGGAAAUCUCCCGGCUUAACCGGGAAAGGUCGAGAGGAACUAUUCAGCUAGAGGGCGGGAGAGGAGCGCGGAAUUCCCAGUGUAGCGGUGAAAUGCGUAGAUACUGGGAGGAACACCAGUGGCGAAGGCGGCUACCUGGACCGGAUCUGACGCUGAUGCGCGAAAGCGUGGGUAGCAAACAGGAUUAGAUACCCUGGUAGUCCACGCUGUAAACGAUGGGUGCUCGGUGUCGCGGGUAUCGACCCCUGCGGUGCCUUAGCUAACGCGUUAAGCACCCCGCCUGGGGAGUACGGUCGCAAGGCUG
rnacentral:rRNA from 1 species